AACGCGAAGAACCUUACCUGGUCUUGACAUCCACGGAAUUCGGCAGAGAUGCCUUAGUGCCUUCGGGAACCGUGAGACAGGUGCUGCAUGGCUGUCGUCAGCUCGUGUUGUGAAAUGUUGGGUUAAGUCCCGCAACGAGCGCAACCCUUAUCCUUUGUUGCCAGCGGUCCGGCCGGGAACUCAAAGGAGACUGCCAGCGAUAAACUGGAGGAAGGUGGGGAUGACGUCAAGUCAUCAUGGCCCUUACGACCAGGGCUACACACGUGCUACAAUGGCGCAUACAAAGAGAAGCGAACUCGCGAGAGCAAGCGGACCUCAUAAAGUGCGUCGUAGUCCGGAUUGGAGUCUGCAACUCGACUCCAUGAAGUCGGAAUCGCUAGUAAUCGUAGAUCAGAAUGCUACGGUGAAUACGUUCCCGGGUCUUGUACACACCG
rnacentral:rRNA from 1 species